rnacentral:rRNA from 1 species
UACGAAGGGGGCUAGCGUUGUUCGGAAUUACUGGGCGUAAAGCGCGCGCAGGCGGUCUUCCAAGUCAGUGGUGAAAGCCCGGGGCUCAACUCCGGAAUUGCCUUUAAAACUGCAUCGCUAGAAUUGUGGAGAGGUAAGUGGGAAUUCCGAGUGUAGAGGUGAAAUUCGUAGAUAUUCGGAAGAACACCAGUGGCGAAGGCGACUUACUGGACACAUAUUGACGCUGAGGUGCGAAAGCGUGGGGAGCAAACAGG